rnacentral:rRNA from 1 species
GUGAGGAAUAUUGGUCAAUGGACGAGAGUCUGAACCAGCCAAGUCGCGUGAAGGAAGACGGUUCUAUGAAUUGUAAACUUCUUUUGUGCAGGAAUAAAGUGGGUUACGUGUAACCUCUUGUAUGUACUGUACGAAUAAGGAUCGGCUAACUCCGUGCCAGCAGCCGCGGUAAUACGGCGGAUCCGAGCGUUAUCCGGAUUUAUUGGGUUUAAAGGGUGCGUAGGUGGAGUGAUAAGUCAGCGGUGAAAGUUUGCAGCUUAACUGUAAAAUUGCCGUUGAAACUGUCGGUCUUGAGUGCAAAUGAGGUAGGCGGAAUGUGUUUUGUAGCGGUGAAAUGCUGAGAUAUAACACAGAACUCCGAUUGCGAAGGCAGCUUACUGGGAUGCAACUGACACUGAUGCACGAAAGCGUGGGUAUCAAACAGGAUUAGAAACCCCAGUAGUCC